rnacentral:tRNA from 1 species
CAUUAGCUCAGUGGUAAGAGCAGUCGGCUCAUAACCGAUCGGUCCUGGGUUCGAAUCCCCGA